CUGCUGCCUCCCGUAGGAGUUUGGGCCGUGUCUCAGUCCCAAUGUGGCCGUCCACCCUCUCAGGCCGGCUACUGAUCGUCGCCUUGGUGGGCCGUUACCCCGCCAACAAGCUAAUCAGACGCGGGUCCAUCUUACACCACCGGAGUUUUUCACACAAAUCCAUGCGGCUACGUGCGCUUAUGCGGUAUUAGCACCUAUUUCUAAGUGUUAUCCCCCAGUGUAAGGCAGGUUACCCACGCGUUACUCACCCGUCCGCCACUAAG
rnacentral:rRNA from 1 species